UUUCUUUCUCUUCUUUUUUUCUUCUCUUUCUCUUUUCUCUGCGACGGCAUCUCUCUCUUUUCCCGAUUCCUUUCUAUCUACAAACUGUUCUUCUGUUUUUUUUUUCUUUUUCUUCUUCAAUCCUUCGUGAAACUUAUCCAUAGCCACUCAAUCUGAUGAAGGAAUUGAAGAAAACGGUGAAGAAGAUGAAGGAAUUCAAGGAAAAAAGAGCUCGAAGCCUAUUUACAUUUAUAGUCAUGGAUCUGUGAUUUCAGAUUAGGGUUUCGUUUUAUGAGGAAUACUAUGAGUUUGUUUCGAUCUAGAGUUUAUUUUUGUUCUUGAUGAUUUUGAUAGUGUUUUGAAUAAGAUUUUAGGUUUUCUAUGAUUUAGGGUUCUUAUUGUUCUUAUUCUUCUACAGUAUUUUUCGUGUUUGUAUUUAUUUCAUCUUCAGAUCCAGAUUCAGUUUAACUCGGUGUUAUUAACUCAUUCGAACUCGG
rnacentral:lncRNA from 1 species